rnacentral:lncRNA from 7 species
GCGAGCCCCUCCCCACACCUUCAGCGAGGGAUGCCGCCGUCGCCCGGCUGCCGGCCGGGCUCCUCCUGCCCGCGAGGUGGCGCUCGCCCCGCGCUCUCCGCGUCUGUCCCGCGGAAUGCGAGGAGCGCAGGGACGCGGGGCGCUUAAUCGUGGAAGGAAGCGAGCCGGGAGAGGCGCUGAGCCGCAGUCACCGCCAUCUCACCGGUGCCUGAGUGUUUCGAUACGUGUCAGUUCAGUGAGUGGGAAAACGCCGGUCUUGUUCAGCGUCUUCAUCAAUGACCUGGAAUAAGGGGUGUUUGGGCACGUGCUCUGAGAAAUCUCUCUUUGGGACAACCGCAGAAGAGAAAUGGCAAAGGCUUCAGAAAUAACGACCAGGGACUGGCGCUGGCCCCGUGUGGUGCCUCCACAGGGAAAAUUAGUGGCAAGCCAGCAUCUCGGCCAGCACUCGCCAGCCUUCUCUUUACAUGCCUGUACCCUUCAUCCAGACAGACAUCCUGAAAGCAUCUUCAGGAUAUCUUUUCAGUGGAGCUCCGUGAAUUAAGACUGCUCUUCCAAGCAGGCUUUCAGAGCGCAUCUCCACCUCCAGAAAAAGCCACCUUGAAUCUCUUGACUCUUCCUUUGUCAGAUCACUUUGGAUUUCCCAGUUCACAGAAGAGACACACACACGUUCCAGUCAGAAACACAACCCCAGCUCGAUAACCUACUCCAGCACACUGCAAACACUCUACUUUUGAUAUUCUUCUCAUUUCUGUGUUUGACUAAUGGCUCUCAAUUCAGCACGCUUCUACAGUACUUGACACCAAGACCCAGGAAAGCUGCUGAAGUAUACACGUGUAACUCAUCCGUCUUGCAAAGAAAAAGAAUGGUAACGUUGUAUUGCAAACAGCAGCUCUGGAAAAUCCCUAACAAUUUUUCUUAGCUACAGAGAACACACAAAUGUCCUAAUAACUACAACCUGCUUCUUAACCAACAAGAAGGGGGCUGUCUAAUGCAGUCUUUCCAUGAUAGAGGGAAAGAACGAAACAGUACCUGAAACCCACUGACUUUAGAGACCUCCAUCUGAGGACUGCCCCUGGAGAAAGAAGACAGGUAUGCAGAGCUUGAGCUGAAAGCUACAGAGCCUACAGUCUUCAGAUUUUGCGGGGCAUUACACCUAGGCAGGUGUGUGUUUUAUACCUUGGCUAGCCACGAGUGACACAAGUAUUUUAUAUUUCCCUGCCCUUUUCUGUAGACUGCUUUGCAAGUCACCUGUCUUGUACCCCACCUAUCCCAGGGCUUCUCUGCUCAAAGCCAAGACACCUGCACCUUGCAGUGCACACUACCCGUAGCAAGUUGACUGCUGCUCUUCCAAAUAAGUAAAUACGAAGUGAAUGAAGUCCAAGGGAAUAUUCUGAUUGGCAGUGGCUGUUCUGUCCGUCUUAACCUAGAUCAGUUUGACAUAAGCCAUUUAUUUCAUGGUUAACCCCAGAAAAGUCCUGCAAGGAAUAGAAAUGCAUGCAUUAAUCCUGCUCACCGGUUUGGUUCCACCUUGGGCUGGAUGAAGGAGCCGCUGCAACCCAAACUCAAAUUUAUUGCUCCAAAUACUGUAAAGAAAACAACACUCCCUUGUGAUCCUCACACAAACUCUUUAUUACGGAGGGAAGAAAGAGACAACACUGUAAAGAGCUGAGCAUUACAACGAAACAUAAAGCAGCAUUAAAGUUGCUCUGUGCCUAAUGCUGUGGUUUAAGCAGCUAAUCUUGUUUUGGUUGAAUGGCAUGUUCAUUACAGCAAAUAAAUCAGCAACGUGUGGGAUUAUUGAAGAGGAAAGACAUAUUAAACCAGUUUAGGGCAUCAUAUUGAUUUUUUUUUUUUUCCAAGUGUCCGAUUUAGCUUGGCGUUUUUCAACAGUCAGUUCUAAUAAAUGCUUGUAGAGCACAGAUUAAGCAGGUGGGAAUGCUGCCCAGAAAGAGUAUUAUGAAUAACUUAAGGCACUGGUUUAAUUGCAGCAAUCCAUGAUACUUACUGCGCUGGCACCAGAGUGGAAUUUUCAGUAUUAAAAGUUAAACUUCAAC